UUUCCUACGGGGGGCAGCAGUGGGGAAUAUUGCACAAUGGGGGAAACCCUGAUGCAGCAACGCCGCGUGAAGGAAGACGGUUUUCGGAUUGUAAACUUCUUUUCUUAGUGAAGAAGCAAGUGACGGUAGCUAAGGAAUAAGCAUCGGCUAACUACGUGCCAGCAGCCGCGGUAAUACGUAGGGAGCAAGCGUUAUCCGGAUUUACUGGGUGUAAAGGGCGCGUAGGCGGGAUGGCAAGUCAGAUGUGAAAUCCGGGGGCUCAACCCCUGAACUGCAUUUGAAACUGUCGUUCUUGAGUACUGGAG
rnacentral:rRNA from 1 species